GAAUCUUCCGCAAUGGACGAAAGUCUGACGGAGCAACGCCGCGUGAGUGAUGAAGGCUUUCGGGUCGUAAAACUCUGUUGUUAGGGGAGAACAAGUACGGGAGUAACUGCUCGUACCUUGACGGUACCUAACCAGAAAGCCCCGGCUCACUACGUGCCAGCAGCCGCGGUAAUACGUAGGUGGCAAGCGUUAUCCGGAAUUAUUGGGCGUAAAGCGCGCGCAGGCGGUUUCUUAAGUCUGAUGUGAAAGCCCACGGCUCAACCGUGGAGGGUCAUUGGAAACUGGGGAACUUGAGUGCAGAAGAGAAAAGCGGAAUUCCACGUGUAGCGGUGAAAUGCGUAGAGAUGUGGAGGAACACCAGUGGCGAAGGCGGCUUUUUGGUCUGUAACUGACGCUGAGGCGCGAAAGCGUGGGGAGCAAACAGG
rnacentral:rRNA from 1 species